rnacentral:piRNA from 1 species
UGGGCAGAAACAGAAGGCCUAGGUGUGU